rnacentral:rRNA from 1 species
UACGAAGGGGGCUAGCGUUGCUCGGAAUCACUGGGCGUAAAGGGUGCGUAGGCGGGUUUUUAAGUCAGAGGUGAAAUCCUGGAGCUCAACUCCAGAACUGCCUUUGAUACUGGGAAUCUUGAGUAUGGAAGAGGUGAGUGGAACUGCGAGUGUAGAGGUGAAAUUCGUAGAUAUUCGCAAGAACACCAGUGGCGAAGGCGGCUCACUGGCCCAUAACUGACGCUGAGGCACGAAAGCGUGGGGAGCAAACAGG